rnacentral:rRNA from 1 species
GACGAACGCUGGCGGCGUGCCUAAUACAUGCAAGUCGAGCGCAGGAAAUCGACGGAACCCUUCGGGGGGAAGUCGAUGGAAUGAGCGGCGGACGGGUGAGUAACACGUAAAGAACCUGCCCUCAGGUCUGGGAUAGCCACGAGAAAUCGGGGCUAAUACCGGACGGGUCAUCGGACCGCAUGGUCCGAGGAUGAAAGGCGCUUCGGCGUCGCCUGGGGAUGGCUUUGCGGUGCAUUAGCUAGUUGGUGGGGUAAUGGCCCACCAAGGCGACGAUGCAUAGCCGACCUGAGAGGGUGAUCGGCCACACUGGGACUGAGACACGGCCCAGACUCCUACGGGAGGCAGCAGUAGGGAAUCUUCCACAAUGGACGAAAGUCUGAUGGAGCAACGCCGCGUGAACGAUGAAGGCCUUCGGGUCGUAAAGUUCUGUUGUAAGGGAAGAACAAGUGCCGCAGGCAAUGGCGGCACCUUGACGGUACCUUGCGAGAAAGCCACGGCUAACUACGUGCCAGCCGCCGCCGUAA